UAGAGUUUUCUAAACUCCCAACCCAUGUGAACUUACCAUUGUUGCCUCGGCAGAAGCUACCCUGUAGCGUCUUACCCGGGAACGGCCUACCCUGUAGCGCCUUACCCUGGAACGACCUACCCUGUAGCGGCUGCCGGUGGACUACUCAACUCUUGUUAUUUUAUGGUUAUCUGAGCGUCUUAUUUUAAUAAGUCA
rnacentral:misc_RNA from 1 species